ACUCUGGAGGAGCACCAUGAAGACACUGCUGGGAUCUCUGCUGGGGCUUUUGUGCUCCCAGCUUUGCUGUGUGAAAGGGCAGCAAGUGAAGCAGAGCCCCGAAUCCUUGAUUCUCCAGGAGAGAGACAGUUCCGUGUUAUAUUGCAACUUUUCUAUGGCUGUAAACAAUGUGAAGUGGUUUUACCAAAAUCCAGGGGGACGCCUCAUCAGCCUGUUUUACAAUCCUUCAGGAACAAAGCAGAGUGGAAGGCUGAAGUCAACAACUGUCUCUAAGGAACGUCACAGCUCUCUGUACAUUUCCUCCUCGCAGACCACAGACUCAGGCACUUACUUCUGCGCAGUGGAUUCACAGCGCACUCCAGACACUUGCAGCCUCGACAAAAAUCUUCAGCUGGGUGGGGGCGUCCCCUGCUCAGUCACAUGACAUCAUGAGACCACCACAGCAACAUUCGCAGCUUAAAGUCUCUUUACUGUAUUGACAGUUUUAGCCACAGGUAAUUUCUCAACCUCAUAGCCUAGAGUCUUUAUUUUCAUUUCUCAGU